rnacentral:rRNA from 1 species
AACGAACGCUGGCGGCAUGCCUAACACAUGCAAGUCGAACGAGACCUUCGGUUCUAGUGGCGCACGGGAGCGUACCGCGUUGUAACCUGCCCUUAGGUUCUGAAUCACUCCCCGAAAGGGGUGCUCAUACCGGUUAAUGUCUUCGGUCCUAAGAUUUAUCGCCUUUGGAUGGGCCCGCGUUUGAUUCGCUAGGUGGUACGGUAAAAGCCUACCAAGGCGACGAUCCAUAGCUGGUCUGAGAGGGGGAACGGCCAAACUGGGACUGAGACACGGCCCAGAAGAAGAAGGGAGGGAGCAGGGGGGAAUAGUGAAAAAUGGGGGAAACGCUGAGGAAGCGAAGACGCGUGAAGGAAGAAGUAUCUCGGGAUGGAAAAGUCUAUGAGCAGGGAAGAUAGUGACGGUACAUGAAGAAGAAGCCCCGGCUAACUACGUG